UACAGAGGGUGCAAACGUUGCUCGGAAUCAUUGGGCGUAAAGCGCACGUAGGCGGUCCGACAAGUGGGGAGUGAAAGCCCUCGGCUUAACCGAGGAAGUGCUUUCCAAACUGCCGGACUUGAGUACGCAAGAGGAUCGCGGAAUUCCCGGUGUAGAGGUGAAAUUCGUAGAUAUUCGGAGGAACACCAGUGGCGAAGGCGGCUCACUGGCUCGAUACUGACGCUGAGGUGCGAAAGCGUGGGGAGCAAACAGG
rnacentral:rRNA from 1 species